GAGCGUUUUGAUCGUUUUCAACAUCAAAUGGAACGCGGGGUAUGUAUACAGACUGUAUAGUUACACUAGCCAAUAUACUAUAUUAUGCAUGUAUCUCUCUGUUUUUAAAGAGACCACUUCGAAAUCCGUUGUUUUAAAGAUCUAACAAAAAAAGAGGCAGACAGCGUGAAGUGACUUUGUUCUAAUGUAGUGAUUACGUAUUUGCUGAUAUAUUAGAGGUGUCCGUGGCCUAAUGGGUAGACCUUUGGUUCGAACUCUUAGAGGGUGCAGGUUCGAAGCCGGGUGGAGGCGUGUAUCUAUAAGACAUUUUCCGAUCUCAAGUACGAAACUCGCACAUAAUACGGACGCUCGUUUGGUG